UUCUCCUACGGGAGGCAGUAGUGGGGAAUAUUGCACAAUGGGGGAAACCCUGAUGCAGCGACGCCGCGUGGGCGAGGAAGUACCUCGGUAUGUAAAGCCCUAUCAGCAGGGAAGAAACAGGACAGUACCUGACUAGGAAGCCCCGGCUAACUACGUGCCAGCAGCCGCGGUAAUACGUAGGGGGCAAGCGUUAUCCGGAUUCACUGGGCGUAAAGGGAGCGCAGGCGGCAUGGCAAGUCUGAUGUGAAAGCCCGGGGCUCAACCCCGGGACUGCAUUGGAAACUACCGAACUAGAGUGUCGGAGG
rnacentral:rRNA from 1 species